GACGAACGCUGGCGGCGUGCCUAACACAUGCAGGUCGAACGGAGUCGGCCCCGCAAGGGACUGACUUAGUGGCGAACGGGUGAGUAACGCGUGAGCAACCUGCCUUUCAGUGGGGGACAACAGUUGGAAACGACUGCUAAUACCGCAUAAUGCAUUUUGACCGCAUGAUCGAGAUGCCAAAGAUUUAUUGCUGAAAGAUGGGCUCGCGUCUGAUUAGAUAGUUGGUGAGGUAACGGCCCACCAAGUCGACGAUCAGUAGCCGGACUGAGAGGUUGAACGGCAACAUUGGGACUGAGAUACGGCCCAGACUCCUACGGGAGGCAGCAGUGGGGAAUAUUGGGCAAUGGGGGAAACCCUGACCCAGCAACGCCGCGUGAAGGAAGAAGGCUUUCGGGUUGUAAACUUCUUUUACCAGGGACGAAGAAAGUGACGGUACCGGGAGAAAAAGCCACGGCUAACUACGU
rnacentral:rRNA from 1 species